AUGCCUACACUGGAAGUAGAUCAAGGUCUUAGUAUUUUCUCUGAAUUUUCUACAUGGGAAGCUCAAAAAGAUGCCAUGCUACACUCUACAUUUUUUUGGAAUAAAGCAGAGAAUGUGGGGAAGGAGGAGAGGGGGAAAGAAUCAAGGCAAGCCUGCUUAUUGUUGAAACUCUACCAAGUGCCCUCUUCUGGACCCCCCACUGGGAGAGGCUGUCUCAACAGGCCGGGGCGCUGCCGGACCACAGAAUCUUCCUUCUCAUACUGGAGAACUGGGCAUAGGACCCAGCAGCAAAAUGGACCCAAGAACCUUGCCCAUCCAGCAGCUAUGCCAGAAGCACCAGCUCAAUCUAAAAACCACAGAUUCAAUUAACUAAUCCCUCUCCUCGGAGUGCCAAGAAGAAAUAAUCUUGUCAACCACCCCCUUUGCCCUGAGCCCUGAUCCAAAGCUCAAUAUGCUUUUGAUUUUCCUAGAGUCUUCAAAAAAAAGAAAUGUUAUUUCAAGGCCACUCCCUGUUUUCCACAUUCUUGACAGAGGUAUGUUUUUCAUACUCUCCACAACACUUUACUGAUGGCACAGUGUUUGUGUUUAAUUUCUGUACAGUAUUUUGGUUGGUCUCAUCUAUGUUUUUAUAGUUAAUUGAACAUACGGACCCAGAUUGGUGGUAGAGGGCAUUGUGGGUAAGUUAUAUCCCAGGAACUGCUUUCCUGCUGAAAAAAAUAUAAGAUUCUUCUUCUCGUUCUUUUCUAGUCACCCGAGAACCACAGCAGCGGCAAACAUAUUAAAUUCCAUCUUGUGAAAUAACACGAAAAAGUAUUUAGCAACAUUCCCCUCUCAACAGUGCUAAACAAGACUUGUGCUUUGUCACAGACUUUAUUCCCCAAUAUACGAGCAGGAUCGCAGCUCAGACAACACGUUCUCAAGCAGAUGGGCUCGACUGAGUGUUUUCCUGCCUUAUCAUUUUCACUUCCUCUGUUUUCUUUUCACUCUCCUGGCACAUAAAAAUUGGAUGGUCGGCUGAUUUAUCCCCGGGGCACACACCUUGUGUCUUCUCUAGGAUGGUUUAAUUUGAUUUUUCUCAACAACAGCCAAGGACAGAAGAAAGUUUCUCAUUAGGAAAUUGCCUUGGGAGUGAUACAGAGCUUUGUUGGUUAAAGAAAAUGUUAAGUGUGAAAACUACAGCCCAGGUUACCUCACGCGUGUAUUCUCUUCAGACAGUUUCUGAGUGUUAGUGAUGUUGCGCCAACAAAACAAAAUUGAGGAUUUAAUUCAGGGCUCUCUCUUCUUAGUGAAAAGGCUACUUAUUGGGAGAGUGACUUUGAGGUUUAAUGUGAAGAGAAAGCCUGCAGGGACUGGGCGAAGCUGGCCCUGUGCCAUUCAGCUCAAGUGGGGAGCUGACCCACCGGCUUAUUGACCCCUGACCUCUGGACCGAGACUUCCAGAACGUCCUUCAAUGUGGCGGUCAUGGUGGCAGCUUUUGUUUACCUUCAAGGAGGAUGUUUUGAGACCCUAUUGAUAAGUAAUGCUGAUUUGUAUGGAAACUUUUCAAGUUGAAAUUCUCGGUGGGUUUUUGGCUGCUUCUGGAAAUCUGAGCUAAAAGCAAGGCCUCUGCCCCCUGCCGCUUGGGUUUAAUAACAAAACACAAAGCAACCAUAUAAACAGACCCUUUUAAUCGACUAUAGGCCCCAACUUCUCCCUUCUGGAAACAUGAGAACCGGGGCCUAGAACUUAUACCAUACGCAGAAACCAGAUACCCUUAGAAUCAGAAGUAUCUCCAACACUAAUUGGAUUAAAAAUCAUGAAGCGUACUCUCAGACUGGAGCAUUCAAAUAAAAUUAGACACCAUCUUAUUUUUUAAAAAUAAAGAAUUAGUGCCUUGUGUGUACAUUAUCAUCACAAGUUAAUGAGGGAGGGAGCAUGACUAGAGCCUCUCACGUUACCAGAACGGAACUCGGAUACCACAAAAUGCUCCCUUCAUUUUUUUUUUUUUUUUUNNNNNNNNNNNNNNNNNNNNNNNNNNNNNNNNNNNNNNNNNNNNNNNNNNNNNNNNN
ensembl:lincRNA